GACGUAGGGUGCAAGCGUUGUCCGGAAUUAUUGGGCGUAAAGAGCUCGUAGGCGGUCUGUCGCGUCUGCUGUGAAAACUCAGGGCUUAACCCUGAGCUUGCAGUGGGUACGGGCAGACUAGAGUGCGGUAGGGGAGACUGGAAUUCCUGGUGUAGCGGUGAAAUGCGCAGAUAUCAGGAGGAACACCGGUGGCGAAGGCGGGUCUCUGGGCCGUAACUGACGCUGAGGAGCGAAAGCGUGGGGAGCGAACAGG
rnacentral:rRNA from 1 species